AUUUGAGAUACGAAAUCAAAGGGUUAUAUUUCGGGUUCAACUUGUCCUAGCAUCUGUGUUGUGUUUGAUUUGUUGAUGCUGCUGUUUACGUGAGGUUUAACACAAUCAUGCUUUACCUCUGGUCCUACAAAUGACUAUCUGAUAGCCCCUGAUGGGCCUGAUCCUUUCGGUCAGGAAAAUACAUGGGGGACGGUCUGCUAAUCUUAGCUCUCUCAACGGUGUUUUGGCAAGGUGUAUAUCCUGUUCAAGCAGCGCAUUUUGCCCAGUCACUUCUCAGGUCCCCCGCCUUGGACUCGAAAAGAAAAAGAUGAUGUGUGAUUAGCGAUAGUUUCCAAAUUUCUGGUGGUAGAUAUGCACCGGGUAUAGAGAAAAUAUUCGGGAAGUUGGAAAAUUGCUCUCUGUAUACCUUGGUACAUAUUCCACGAGAAGAUUCGAUACUGGCGAGAAAAACUGUCUUUUCGAGCUCCUUCGAUCGCUUACCAGCGUGGCUACUUUUGCUUUCUUCCUGUUAAACAAGUUGCGACUGCCGAAAUACCCAGUGAAUAUCAGAUCAAGCAGCAUUUGAGAAUACAGGCAAACAACAACAGCUUCAGGAUGUUACAGGGGAGUGGGUGAAUAGCCUCACCGCGGUGGAGUUGAUCCAUCCCAUACGUCUCAGCCUCCGUGGAGCAACAAACUCCUCUCCUCUCUUGAUCAGAGAAACAGGCGCCGGCUACGGGAUUGUACUGUGCCUCCAUAAUAGAAGCAAGAUGUGAAGAAGAAGGCAGUGCAGGGUAACUUUAAAUCAUCAUCGGAGCGCUGAACAACUUUCCCGCACCACAUCACACACCCUGCAAAGUUGGCGAAGAUAUCGAAAUGCGUAGCUAGCAGCCAGCAGCGACAUAGUAGCUUUUUUUGCAAUCCGCUAAGCUGAUCGUGGUGGUUGUUUUCCCAACAGCCCCCUCCCUCAAACAACAAUGCAUUCGAAAGUGGAACUUCUUCACCCAACACCUUCCCGCCGCGAAUGAAGAUAUUGCGUCAGAGGCGGCGGCAUCAAAAAGUUGGGG
rnacentral:sRNA from 1 species